rnacentral:sRNA from 1 species
ACUAACUAUAUAUGGUUAUGAAGUGGAACGAGACGAACGCAAACAAAAAGAGACG